UCCUGGGCGACCCCACCGCUCCCCUCCAGUCCUCUGGUCUCCUUCCUCCGGGUGAAGGGGAUGCCAACAGCUCCCUCGCGGGGAGCCUUUUCCUCGCGUGCGCGUGCGGCUCUGUGCUGAGCGUGCUGCAAUAAAGCCUGGCCUGACAGGCUCACAAUGCAAAUGAGGAAACCGAGGCCCCCUGAGGUCAAGUCGCUGCCCUAGGUCACGCAGCUGGUAUGCGUGGGAGCAGCGUUUGCGCCCGGGCACUUCUAGCUGGGUCGGGGCUCCCAGAUGGAGCUGGGGGGGGGGGCGUGUGGAGUGGAGCCAGGAGGCCAGUGUUGGGGAGGGGGUGUUUGACCUUAACUCAGUUACUUUCUGGCCACCUCCACCUUCUCAACGGAGCUAGAGUUCACUCCUCUCCUCCAUCCAAAAUACCUUUCUGCGAUUCCAGGGAGUAGUAGAAACCCUCUCCUCUGAAUCCUUGGGGCAUGUAAGCAUCAGAGGUCCUGGAGAAGACCCUGCCACCCCCGUGUCCUCUGGGUGAAGAUAACAGGUAGGAAGAACCCUGGUGGGGAAGAGGACCAGGUAAGGAGGGGACAAACCAGAAGAGGGGAGGGCAGGAAGGGAGGGAUAUGUAGAGAAGUUUUUUACUUUAUCCUGUCAAAACUGUCUUUAUAUAGUUUGUUGAAAAUUAAUUUUGUAAUUCAAAACUUCAGAAAAAAUCCUACUGCCCUUUGUAGUCCCAUGCCAAUUCCACUGUCCCACGUGGCUGUCCCUGACCAGCAUGGAUUCCCAGGGCUGCAAGGGUACCUGGGGAGGGAUGUGCAUGUCCUGCUGUGGCCUGCACUUGUGAGAAUUGCAAGCCCAGGCCCCUUCUUCCACGCCUGCAUUCCUGACUUGCAGGGGAAGCGCCAGGCGGAGUCUUCGGACCACCACGGCUAUCAUGGUGGUCUUGAGUAGUCUUUGCAUAGUGUUGGUGGUGGUCUUAGGAACACCAGAACAUUUUUGACAAGGCAACAGCCCCGGGGGACCCUGUCUGGCCACUGGGACCCUGUCCAGUGGUCCCCAGGCAUGUGCUCCAUGCCCAUGGGGACACUGUCAACCCUGCUCACCCCAUCUCUGGAGUUGGGGGUUUUCAUCCAGUUCUGAGCUAUAACAUAGCUGGUGGAUUGGAGUUAGGACUCACUGAGGCCGUGACCUGAAAACCCAGCCCAGGCAGCACAGCUGGGAGGAAGUGUCUCAGGGACAAAGACAUGGGCCCUGAUGUCCUGGAUGAAGCACUGGGACUCCUGGUACAACUCAUGUGUCCUGUGAAGGCAGAAACACACAGUAACAUCCCCAAGAGAAACUGGCCACCUGCCUGUCACUUGGAGAGGCCAUGAGAGGGAGCUGCUGCCAGGAACAGAGGAGCCACUGUCACCUGGGCAUCAAAUGGGACGUCUUUUCUGUAUGGUGAGCAGCUUUGGAAGACAGAGACGGUGAUUUUCUGAUUUCCUCUCCGCCGGCCUGGCCCGGCCCGGACCAAGAGUUUGUUCCCUCAUGGUCACCUGAGCUGCGCCCAGGGCGUGGGAAACUGUCGCAGGCCUGAAGUUCACACUGCCUGUGGCUUCGCCUUCAUCAUGGAGGUUGUCUCCUAGCUUCCAGUGCAGACCCUUCAGCCUCCUGAUUCAGACUCCCAUGGGAUAUUACACCUUCGACUAGAUUCUGCAGAUCUCCAGUGUGCAGACAGACCUUGUGUACUCUUCCACAUCUGACUCUUUGGGCAGCCAUUGUAAG
ensembl:lncRNA